rnacentral:rRNA from 1 species
AUUGAACGCUGGCGGCAGGCCUAACACAUGCAAGUCGAGCGAGCGGCGGACGGGUGAGUAAUGUAUGGGGAUCUGCCCGAUAGAGGGGGAUAACUACUGGAAACGGUGGCUAAUACCGCAUACUAUCGGAUGUACCCAUAUGGGAUUAGCUAGUAGGUAGGGUAAUGGCUUACCUAGGCGACGAUCCCUAGCUGGUCUGAGAGGAUGACCAGCCACACUGGAACUGAGACACGGUCCAGACUCCUACGGGAGGCAGCAGUGGGGAAUAUUGCACAAUGGGCGCAAGCCUGAUGCAGCCAUGCCGCGUGUGUGAAGAAGGCCCUAGGGUUGUAAAGUACUGUCAGCGGGGAGGCGUUACCGGCAGAAGAAGCACCGGCUAACUCCGUGCCAGCAGCCGCGGUAAUAC